rnacentral:rRNA from 1 species
CCCUUAGAUGUCCUGGGCCGCACGCGCGCUACACUGACAUGUUCAACAAGCCUCCUAGUUCGACAGGAUUUGGGAAAUCUUUGAACGCAUGUCGUGAUAGGGAUAGAUCAUUGCAAUUAUUGAUCUUGAACGAGGAAUUCCUAGUAAACGCGAGUCAUCAGCUCGCAUUGAUUACGUCCCUGCCCUUUGUACACACCGCCCGUCGCUACUACCGAUUGAAUGGUUUAGUGAGAUCCUUGGAUCGGCCCUGUCGCGGCUGGCAACGGCCGCGUCGGCGCGUCGAGAAGACGAUCAAACUUGAUCAUUUAGAGGAAGUAAAAGUCGUAACA